rnacentral:rRNA from 1 species
GGACUACCGGGGUAUCUAAUCCUGUUUGAUCCCCACGCUUUCGUGCCUCAGCGUCAAUAUAGGCGUAGUAAGCUGCCUUCGCAAUAGGUGUUCUAUGUCAUAUCUAUGCAUUUCACCGCUACAUGACAUAUUCCGCUUACCUCCACCAUAUUCAAGACUGAUAGUAUCAAUGGCAGUUCUGGAGUUAAGCUCCAGGAUUUCACCACUGACUUAACAGCCCGCCUACGCACCCUUUAAACCCAGUGAAUCCGGAUAACGCUUGCACCCUCCGUAUUACCGCGGCUGCUGGCAC